rnacentral:lncRNA from 1 species
CCGAGUUGGGUUUGAAUUUGUUACAUGAGAACUCAAACUUUGGGCUAACACCAAACCGAAUUAAAAAAAAAAAUGCUAUAAAUCGAACCGAAGAGAUUUGUUUAGGUCAAAUUCCCAGUUUGCCCCUCUUCUUUUUUUUUUGCACACCCCUAAUCACAUAACAAUGCACAAUUGUUUGACUAUUUUUCUUGAACUAACUUUCUUUUUCAUCUCUUAAAUAACAUUGUAUCUGUUAUAUACUAAAUAAUUAUUUCAGUAAAAUGCCCGAUAAACAUUACCAUUAGAUGUAGAGGUGCCACUACAUGACAAAUAACUUCCUUUUUCAAGAAAUAGUUAAGAAAUAGCAGUAUAAGUAUGAGGCCCAAUAAUUCCACAUCAGAAAGACUCGUUUUAGAGCCUGGGCAUAUGAGGCGGAUAUC